GUCUAUGGCAAUGCCACCCUGAACAAGCCCGAUUCCUUCUGAUCUCAGAAGCUAAGCAGGGUCGGGCCUGGUUAGUACUUGGAUGGGAGACUACAUAGGAAUACUAGGUGCUGUAGGCA
rnacentral:rRNA from 1 species